rnacentral:tRNA from 1 species
GUGCCCGUAGCUCAGCUGGAUAGAGCGCGAGCCUCCGAAGCUCGAGGUCACAGGUUCGAAUCCCGUCGGGCACGCCA